CUCGUAGGCGGCCUCUUAAGUCGGACGUGAAAUCCCCCGGCUCAACCUGGGAACUGCGUCUGAUACUGGGGGGCGUGGAAUGCGGGAGGAGGGAUGCGGAAUUCCAGGUGUAGCGGUGAAAUGCGUAGAUAUCUGGAGGAACACCGGUGGCGAAGGCGGCAUCCUGGACCGUGAUUGACGCUGAGGAGCGAAAGCCAGGGGAGCAAACG
rnacentral:rRNA from 1 species